ACACUCAGCAGUGUGUAACUAUCAUCAGCCCAGCAGCAGCAGCUCCUCGGCUCUCACUGGGUGUUCCCUCCCACACUGUCCUCAGCCUGUCCCAGUCAGCUGACACAGAGGGUUCCCUUCGGACGGCUCCAGAUCCAAUCCCCUGUAUUUCCGGGCGGUGGGGCCGGUGACACAUACACUGUGCGUGACCAUGGCAACGGUGACGUCAGAGGAAAGGGGGAAGUGCAAUGUGAUGGCCGGAAGAGAGGACCCGGUGUGCGGCGGAGAGGACGGCGUGGAUCUGUACAGAUUGAUAUGCGCUGUAAAAAACUGGGUGUAUAUGGACGUCUCAAAAGCAGGAAGUCAAGACGUGGUCUGCUGUGCGUUCCAUAGCCCGGAAGCACGCGACCACACAGCGGAGGGAGAUAAUCUAAAGAAGACCGUCAUGCGGUCCACGUGCGUUCCAUGGACCGGAAGCACGCGGCCUCGACACAGGAAGUGCACGAGUCAAAGCCGGGAUGCGGUCCGCGGUGCGUUCCACGGACCGGAAGCACGCGGCCGCUCCUGUACCUAUCUAUUAGAGACGGCUUUUUUAAGUAAAUAAUCCACGAGUACCACCAACGAGAUAUUAACAUAAAAUUAUGAGAUCCCCAGUAUUAUUAAAAUUUUGUGUAUCGGAAGUACGGAAAUACGGAGGCUAGGUCCUCCCACUAAAAGUUGAGUUUAGAUAGGUUGUGUUUUAUAGUUAUUAUGCAAAGCUGCUAUGUUUAGACUACACAACAAUUUUGAAUCUGUGGAGGGAAAACUUGAUGUAAGAAUAUAUGUGACCUUGUUGACCCGGAAGUGAUUUACAUACAACAAGGUGACCUUGUUGACCCGAAAGUGAUUUACAUACAACAAGGUGACCUUGUUGACCCAGAAGUGAUUUACAUACAGAGCAUAAAUAGCCCAGACUUAGCAUAGCUCCUGUCAUACAGCCUUGAUGAGGGUUCAC